UGAUGAAGAACGCAGCGAAAUGCGAUAAGUAAUGUGAAUUGCAGAAUUCAGUGAAUCAUCGAAUCUUUGAACGCACCUUGCACCCUUUGGCUAUUCCGAAGGGUAUGCCUGUUUGAGUAUCAUGAACACCUCAACUCUCAUGGUUUGCCAUGAUGAGCUUGGACUUUGGGGGUCUUGCUGGCCUGUGGUCAGCUCCUCUCAAAUGGAUUAGCUUGCCAGUGUUUGGUGGCAUCACAGGUGUGAUAACUAUCUACGCUUGUGGUUUUCCACCAGGUAACCUUCAGCAAUGGGGGUUCGCUGGGGCUCAUAAAUGUCUCUCCUCAGUGAGGACAGCUCUUUGAACGUUUGAUCUCAAAUCAGGUAGGACUACCCGCUGAACUUAAGCAUAUCAAUAAGCGGAGGA
rnacentral:misc_RNA from 1 species